GCUUGGAACAAUUUGUUGCUGGUAGUGCUGCACGGACUAACGCGGUUGACUCAAUUGCAUAUUGUUUUCACUAGAAAGAAUUAAUGGAAGAGAUGUCUCCAGCUGUUGCUGUUACACUCAGCUUAAGCAGCUCUAUCUGUGAUAACCCUGCAAUUUCGAACCAUGUAGAAAUCACAAGGCUCAAAUUAGUGACUGACACAGCUAGCUUACUUUCAGAUCCUACAUCUUUGUUGCAUGCUGAGUCAAAUACCAGUUGGGAUGGAAAAAGCAACGGUAUGAAAGUUGAUGUUGGUAGAGUUCCCUUGUUGACCCUAGGAGAAAGCUCUGGAAAAUGUAGUCUGCCGCAGACUGUAUUGGGAGCUGAAAAUGGCCUGAUUGUUAGCGAUAGCAUCAUUCAGGGAAGUGAUGAAGAUGAGAUUUUAUCUGUUGGAGAGGAUCCAUGUGGAAUUAAUGGCGAGGAGUUGUUGCCACUGGGCGCUAGCUUGCAGUUGAGCUUGCCAAUUGCUGUUGAAAUUGAGGGUAUUGACAAUGGACAAAUAGUUGCCAAGGUCAUAAGUUUGGAAGAAAGGAGUUUAGAUAGAAAGGUUAGUAAUACCAUAGUUGCUCUUCCAGAUGAUGAAAUUACUAGUGGCCCUACACUUAAGGCAUCUGUAGUGGCCCUUCCAUUGCCCAGUGAGAAGGAGCCUGUCAAAGAAAGUGUCAAGAGUGUGUUUGAAUUGGAAUGUGUGCCACUCUGGGGUUCUGUAUCUAUCUGUGGAAAGAGACCGGAGAUGGAGGAUGCUCUUGUGGUUGUUCCUAAUUUCAUGAAAAUUCCUAUCAAGAUGUUUAUUGGUGAUCGUGUAAUUGAUGGACUAAGUCAAAGUUUGAGUCACCUGACAUCUCAUUUCUAUGGAGUAUAUGAUGGUCAUGGAGGAUCUCAGGUUGCGGAUUAUUGCCGUAAACGUGUUCAUCUAGCAUUAGUUGAGGAAUUAAAACUUCCCAAACAUGAUUUGGUGGAUGGAAGUGUAAGGGAUACCCGGCAGGUGCAGUGGGAGAAGGUUUUUACUAAUUGCUUUCUCAAGGUUGAUGAUGAAGUUGGAGGAAAGGUCAUAGAUCUCUGUGAUGACAACAUUAAUGCCUCUAGCUGCACCUCUGAGCCUAUAGCUCCAGAAACUGUUGGGUCCACCGCAGUUGUAGCGGUGAUUUGUUCAUCUCAUAUUAUAGUUGCUAACUGUGGGGAUUCAAGAGCAGUCCUUUAUCGUGGCAAAGAAGCAGUGGCAUUGUCAAUCGAUCACAAACCAAGCAGAGAAGAUGAGUAUGCCAGAAUUGAAGCAUCUGGUGGUAAGGUCAUUCAGUGGAAUGGACAUCGUGUAUUUGGCGUUCUUGCAAUGUCAAGAUCUAUUGGUGACAGAUAUUUGAAACCAUGGAUAAUACCUGAACCAGAAGUUAUGUUUGUACCACGUGCUAGAGAAGAUGAAUGCCUAGUUUUAGCCAGUGACGGUUUGUGGGAUGUGAUGACGAAUGAAGAAGCUUGUGAAAUGGCUAGACGGCGAAUUCUGCUGUGGCACAAAAAGAACGGGACUAACCCUCUGCCUGAAAGGGGCCAGGGAGUGGAUCUUGCUGCACAAGCAGCAGCGGAGUAUCUUUCAUCGAUGGCUCUUCAGAAAGGCAGCAAAGACAAUAUAUCCGUGAUUGUGGUGGACCUUAAAGCUCACAGGAAGUUCAAAAGCAAAAGUUAGAGAUGACAUGUUCACUACAUUUGGUUUAGUAUAAAUCUGUACACGGCGACGGGUAUAAAUCUCAUUAUUACAUAACUCAGUCCAUUAAUUUUUCCUAUGGGCUUAAGGUGUGUGUAUGAGAAUAGUAUUUUAGCAAUGUAUUAUAGAAGAAAAAACAGUUGACAAACGACGUUUAUCCAAAUUUUUUGGUGUUUGUUGCGCCAGAAAAUGGCUAUGUAAAUUGAGCAUGUUGUAGCAAAUAUCAGAAAUGCAAUUUCUUACUUCU
rnacentral:misc_RNA from 1 species